rnacentral:piRNA from 1 species
UGCGAAGCCCCCGAGGAUGGAAGUAGG